GAUGAACGCUGGCGGCGUGCCUAAUACAUGCAAGUCGAGCGAACAGACGAGGAGCUUGCUCCUCUGACGUUAGCGGCGGACGGGUGAGUAACACGUGGAUAACCUACCUAUAAGACUGGGAUAACUUCGGGAAACCGGAGCUAAUACCGGAUAAUAUAUUGAACCGCAUGGUUCAAUAGUGAAAGACGGUUUUGCUGUCACUUAUAGAUGGAUCCGCGCCGCAUUAGCUAGUUGGUAAGGUAACGGCUUACCAAGGCGACGAUGCGUAGCCGACCUGAGAGGGUGAUCGGCCACACUGGAACUGAGACACGGUCCAGACUCCUACGGGAGGCAGCAGUAGGGAAUCUUCCGCAAUGGGCGAAAGCCUGACGGAGCAACGCCGCGUGAGUGAUGAAGGUCUUCGGAUCGUAAAACUCUGUUAUUAGGGAAGAACAAAUGUGUAAGUAACUAUGCACGACUUGACGGUACCUAAUCAGAAAGCCACGGCUAACUACGUG
rnacentral:rRNA from 1 species